AACGAACGCUGGCGGCAGGCCUAACACAUGCAAGUCGAGCGAGGACUUCGGUCCUAGCGGCGGACGGGUGAGUAACGCGUGGGAACGUGCCCUUUGCUACGGAAUAGCCCCGGGAAACUGGGAGUAAUACCGUAUGUGCCCGAGAGGGGAACGGUUUAUCGGCAAAGGAGCGGCAGGCGUUGGAUUAUGUAGUUGGUGGGGUAAUGGCCAACCAAGCCGACGAUCCAUAGCUGGUUUGAGAGGAUGAUCAGCCACACUGGGACUGAGACACGGCCCAGACUCCUACGGGAGGCAGCAGUGGGGAAUCUUAGACAAUGGGGGAAACCCUGAUCUAGCCAUGCCGCGUGAGCGAUGAAGGCCUUAGGGUUGUAAAGCUCUGUCAGUGGGGAAGAUAAUGACGGUACCCGGAGAAGAAGCCCCGGCUAACUUCGUGCCAGCAGCCGCAGUAAAAC
rnacentral:rRNA from 1 species